rnacentral:rRNA from 1 species
ACCCGCUGAACUUAAGCAUAUCAAUAAGCGGAGGAAAAGAAACCAACAGGGAUUGCCUCAGUAACGGCGAGUGAAGCGGCAAUAGCUCAAAUUUGAAAGCUGGCGUCUUCGGCGUCCGCGUUGUAAUUUGUAGAGGAUGCUUCGGCGAAGACUCCUGCCUAAGUCCCCUGGAACGGGGCGUCACAGAGGGUGAGAAUCCCGUACGUGGUUGGCGGUCCGAGCCAUGUGAAGCUCCUUCGACGAGUCGAGUUGUUUGGGAAUGCAGCUCUAAAUGGGAGGUAAAUUUCUUCUAAAGCUAAAUACCGGCCAGAGACCGAUAGCGCACAAGUAGAGUGAUCGAAAGAUGAAAAGCACUUUGGAAAGAGAGUUAAAAAGUACGUGAAAUUGUUGAAAGGGAAGCGCUUGCAACCAGACUCGCCCGCAGUUGCUCAGCCGGCCUCUUGGCCGGCGUACUCUUCUGCGGUCGGGCCAGCAUCAGUUCGGGCGGCCGGAUAAAGGCUUCGGGAAUGUAGCACCCUCCGGGGUGUGUUAUAGCCCGUCGCGGAAUGCGGCCAGCCUGGACUGAGGAUCUCGCUUCGGCAAGGAUGCUGGCGUAAUGGUCGCAAGCGGCCCGUCUUGAAACACGGACCAAGGAGUCUAACAUCUAUGCGAGUGUUUGGGUGUCAAACCCAUGCGCGCAAUGAAAGUGAACGGAGGUGGGAACCCUUCGCGGGGCGCACCAUCGACCGAUCCUGAUGUCUUCGGAUGGAUUUGAGUAAGAGCAUAGCUGUUGGGACCCGAAAGAUGGUGAACUAUGCCUGAAUAGGGUGAAGCCAGAGGAAACUCUGGUGGAGGCUCGCAGCGGUUCUGACGUGCAAAUCGAUCGUCAAAUUUGGGUAUAGGGGCGAAAGACUAAUCGAACCAUCUAGUAGCUGGUUCCUGCCGAAGUUUCCCUCAGGA